rnacentral:rRNA from 1 species
UACGGAGGGUGCGAGCGUUGUCCGGAAUCACUGGGCGUAAAGGGCGCGUAGGCGGCGCGGGAAGUCAUCGGUGAAAGUUCAGGGCUCAACUCUGAAUCGGCCGGUGAUACUCUCGUGCUCGAGCACUGUAAAGGCAGGUGGAAUUCCGGGUGUAGCGGUGGAAUGCGUAGAGAUCCGGAAGAACACCGGUGGCGAAGGCGGCCUGCUGGGCAGUAGCUGACGCUGAUGCGCGACAGCGUGGGGAGCAAACAGG